rnacentral:rRNA from 1 species
CGUAGGGUGCGAGCGUUGUCCGGAAUUAUUUGGGCGUAAAAGAGCUUGUAGGCGGUUUGUCGCGUCUUGCUGUGAAAAAUCCGGGGCUCAACCCCGGACUUGCAGUGGGUACGGGCAGACUAGAGUGUGGUAGGGGAGACUGGAAUUCCUGGUGUAGCGGUGAAAUGCGCAGAUAUCAGGAGGAACACCGAUGGCGAAGGCAGGUCUCUGGGCCAUUACUGACGCUGAGAAGCGAAAGCAUGGGAGCGAACAGGAUU